rnacentral:piRNA from 1 species
AAGAAGGAGGAGGAGCUCAAAGU